rnacentral:sRNA from 1 species
GUAGAUGCUCAUUCCACCUCCUAUGUUUGCCAUCCGGCUUCAUAAAACUGGGAAUGAUGCAGAGCCAAUUUAUAGUGCCUAUUGUCUAUCUGCCCGAUAAACACCUCUCAUCAGGUAUUUAUCAACCAGCAGGCAAAACGUUGAGUGAGGCACUGCCCCUGUUGUCCAUGACCUGAUUGUUUUCGACACUUGCCAUCCGGCAAGUGUUUUUUU